CUCCGAAUUCGCCCUUCCUACGGGAGGCAGCAGUGGGGAAUAUUGCACAAUGGGCGCAAGCCUGAUGCAGCGACGCCGCGUGAGGGAUGACGGCCUUCGGGUUGUAAACCUCUUUCAGUAGGGAAGAAGCGUAAGUGACGGUACCUGCAGAAGAAGCGCCGGCUAACUACGUGCCAGCAGCCGCGGUAAUAAGGGCGAAUUCG
rnacentral:rRNA from 1 species